rnacentral:rRNA from 1 species
UACGUAGGGGGCAAGCGUUGUCCGGAAUCACUGGGCGUAAAGCGCGCGCAGGCGGUCUUUCACGUCCGGGGUGAAAGCCCAGAGCUCAACUCUGGGAUUGCCUUGGAUACGGGGAGACUUGAGGGUCGGAGAGGCAAGGGGAAUUCCACGUGUAGCGGUGAAAUUCGUAGAUAUUCGCAAGAACACCAGUGGCGAAGGCGGCUCACUGGCCCGAUACUGACGCUGAGGCACGAAAGCGUGGGGAGCAAACAGG